CCUGAAGUUGGUGAAAUCCACUGCGGGUUUUCCAGGAGUGUAGAGGCGGAGAAGUCUAUCCGAGCUUCCAGUUCUGCUUCUGAAGCUGGAAGGGGCUUUUCGGUUGUAACCCUUGGAUGCUGUGUACCCAGCCAAAAGACUACAUUUCUCAAUCUCCAUUGUAGCUGGAUGUGGCUGUGUGAUCAAGUUAUGACCAAUGAGAUAUAAGUAGAAGUAGCUUGGCCAGACACAGUGGCUCACACCUGUAAUCCCAGCCCUUUGGGAGGCCAAAGCAGGAGGAUCACUUGCACUCAGGAGUUGGAAACUGCAGACCAGCCUGGAGAACACAGUGACACCUUGUCUCUACACAAAAUGAAAAAGUUAGCAGGGUAUGGUGGCAUGUGCCUGUGGUCCCAGCUACUUCCAGCUACUUGGGAGGCUAAAAUGGAAGGAUCGCUUGAGCCUGGGAGAUUGAGGCCUCAGUGAGCCAUGAUCAUGCCACUGUACUCCAGCCUGGGUGACAAGAGCAAGACCCUGUCUCUCAAAAAAAAAAAAACGCGGCUGGGUGGAACAUCUGGAAAACAUCUUUAAAGAACGCUGACUCAAUCAGGAGGAGCACCAUUUUGUUUCUUGCCCUCUGCCCUUCCUGCCUGAAACAGGCAUUGCCAUUCUCUUCAAAACAUAUUUGAAAAAUGUCCAGGCUUCUCAUCUCUGUGUAAAACUGUUCAGUUUGUUCCAGUGUGACGAGAAGAAAUUGGACUGAGCAUACUUUUUUGUGAGACAUCCAUUUUCUUCC
rnacentral:lncRNA from 1 species